rnacentral:pre_miRNA from 1 species
AGUAAGAUAACUGGAUCAAAUGGUGAACCAAUUCCAAGUUUUCUGAGGAAUCUCUAUACUGCUUUUCAGAGUGAUUAUGCCACUUUGCAGUUCUAUCAGAAAU